CGCAUGAUAAGCGCCGAUGGUCCCCGGCGACGGGGGUAAAAGGGAACGCGGUGCAAGGCCGCGGCUGCCCCCGCAACUGUCAUCGGUAAGCCGCGCGCCCUGAAGCCACUGGAGAAAUCCGGGAAGGCGGCGCAAGGCCAUGACCCGUAAGCCAGGAGACCUGCCAUCGUGAGCGCGUCAUU
rnacentral:ncRNA from 1 species